UUUGACGUUACCUACAGAAGAAGCACCGGCUAACUCCGUGCCAGCAGCCGCGGUAAUACGGAGGGUGCGAGCGUUAAUCGGAAUUACUGGGCGUAAAGCGCAUGCAGGCGGCCUGUUAAGUCAGAUGUGAAAGACCCGGGGCGUUAACCUCGGAAUUGCAUUUGAAACUAGGCAGGCUAGAGUCUUGUAGAGGGGGGUAGGAAUUUCAGGUGUAGCGGUGAAAUGCGUAGAGAUCUGAAGGAAUACCAGUGGCGAAGGCGGCCCCCUCGGACAAAGACUGACGCUCAGAUGCGAAAGCGUGGGGAGCAAACAGGAUUAGAUACCCUGGUAG
rnacentral:rRNA from 1 species